rnacentral:siRNA from 1 species
CGCGAUAGUAAUUCAACC